rnacentral:rRNA from 1 species
CCAUUUUACGGCCAGACUGCGAAUGGCUCAUUAAAUCAGUUAUCGUAUAUUUGACAGUUUCUUCCUACAUGGAUAACCGUGGUAAUUCUAGAGCUAAUACAUGCUAAAAACCUCAACUUUGGAAGGGGUGUAUUUAUUAGAUUAAAAACCAACGCCCCCCGGGGCUUAUUGGUUGAAUCAUGAUAACUUCUCGGAUCGCAUGGCCUUGUGCCGGGCGAUGGGUUCAUUCAAAUUUCUGCCCUAUCAACUUUCGACGGCUGGGUAUUGGCCAGCCGUGGUGACAACGGGUAACGGAGGGUUAGGGCUCGACCCCGGAGAAUCCGCCUGAGAGACGGCGAAUACAUCCAAGGAAGGCAGCAGGCGCGCAAAUUGCCCAAUGCCGACUCGGCGAGGCAGCGACAAGAAAUACUGAUACAGGGCUCUUUUGGGUCUUGUAAUUGGAAUGAGUACAAUUUAAAUCCCUUAACGAGGAACAACUAAAGGGCAAGUCUGGUGCCAGCAGCCGCGGUAAUUCCAGCUUUAGUAGCGUAUAUUAACGUUGUUGAGGUUAAAAAGCUCGUAGUUGAACCUUGGGCCUGACCGGCCGGUCCGCCUAAACGCGUGUACUGGUCCGGUUGGACCUUUCCCCUGGGGGAGCUGACAUGCCCUUUAUUGGGUGUGCUAGAUAUACCAGGACAGUUACUCUGAAUAAAUUAGAUCGCUUCAAGAAGGUCUAUGCUCGAAUAGUCUAGCAUGGAAAUAAUGAAAUAGGACGCGUGGUUCUAUUUUGUUGGUUUCUGGGACCGCCGUAAUGAUUAAUAGGGACAGUCGGGGGGCAUCAGUAUUUCAAUUUGUCAGAGGUGAAAUUCUUAGAUUUAUUGAAGACUAACUACUGCGAAAGCAUUUGCCAAGGAUGUUUUCAUUAAUCAGGAACGAAAGUCAGGGGAUCGAAGACGAUCAGAUACCGUCGUAGUCUUGACCAUAAACUAUGCCGAUCAGGGAUUGGACGGUGUUAAUAUUUGACCCGUUCGGCACCUGCGAAAAAUCAGAAUGUUGG